AAAUCUGUCAGAGUUUUAUAUUAUUUAGGUCAUUUCUUAUGUGAAAAUGGAUAAGUGUUUGUAAGAAUCAUGUCCUAUCCAUGUAUGACCAGCAGCAAUCAAGACACCUGCUAAAGACUGAGUGCUAUUAAUAGAGACUGAGUAAAUCUUGAGUUAGUGAUUGUGAUAGUGAAUGUGAUUGUGAUGGUGAAUAUGAAGGUGAUGGUGUUGCUGUUGGAGUGGAGCCGAAGAGAGUUUUGAAGACGGAGAGUCUGGAAACCAGAGAGUUAAAAAGGUCCCAGGCAGUCAAUGGCACCAUUUUUGUCUCUAAUGGACAGCACAAACAACAGAUCAAGAGGACAAGCUUAUCUCCUCUUCUGACUUGACAAGGACAAGAUAUCAAUGGGAUUCCUUAAUCAGAGUGUGGGGUUGAAAAUACUUCCCUGGAUCCAUCUGUGGGCCACACCUAGAGCAUAUCCAUAGAAUCAAUGAACCUUGGACAGCACCAUCGGAGUUUGGUAAAACCAUAAAGCAGAAUCACAGACCCACACUGACAGGAAAUCCACCAAGCACCAUUCUCUGGGACAGGUGGUGCUGUAAAUCAUGUCCUGAACUUCCAAAGUUGCCUUCAGAUUGAACCAUACAAGUUCAAUUGCCUAUCCAGGAGUCAAAUUCUGUAUGAAGAACGGGAGAAAAGAACUGCUUUGCUAUCUGCAGCCGCAAAAUAUUUUGGGCCAGCCCUGUGGUGAAGGGUAGAAAUAGGGUCAUGUUGGGUGAUAGCAAGCAAAACCCAGGAAGAGUUCGAAGUUUAGGCUGAACCUGAAAUGUUCGUGCCAGUUUCAAAAAUCUUGCUCGCAGCUUGGACUGGAAGCCGGCCUUAUUGGAAGAUCAAACCCGCACUCUCACAAGGAGACAUUGUUAUCUCUGAACGCAUUGCCAGCCAGUUGAAGGGGCCUAUGGCAGAAUCAGAGCCUCAUUAUCUCACAGCCAUUGAUUCUGAUGCGGCUCAUUCCCGAAAUGUUUUCUCUCUUUUGCUUCUAGAGAUUUAGGGAGGGACGGAACCUUUCAAAAAGCACUGGAGCUUUGAUAUAGUACAAAUUACCAGCUCUUUAUCUGCCGUUGUAUAACCCUGCGCUGGAAUACAAUGCAGAAAGUUUCUUCAAAGGGACUCAUUAUAUUGCCACACAAUAUAAUCAUGUCGAGAUGGGUUACAGGGUUUUGCUCUAAAUACUCUUUGGUGCUUUUACUGGAGUCCUUUCAUCGGGUUGCCUAUCCUAAAUGGCACAUAUGCUCCCUUCCAUUUAGUUCUUAUUCUGAAAUGACAGUUAGCUAUAUAAGAUAUAUAACUCGAUUACAGGAACCUUACUCCUUAGCCUACCAUCAAGAUCGGCUAGAUCAGUAAUUUCCAAACUCUAGAUCUCCAGGUGUUUGAGACUUAAAAUCCCAGAAACCUUGGCUGCUUUGGCCAAUGAUCAAGUAUUCUGGGAGAUGAAGUCCAAAACAGCUGACUAUGGGAAACAAUAGGUUAGAUCAGUGGUUCUCAACCUGUGGGUCCCCAGGUGCUUUGGCCUACAGCUCCCAUGUUGAGAACCACUGGGUUAGAUGGUUAAGCACAGCAAGAGAUGGGGCUUUUUCAGUGAUCACAUCUUACCUGCAAACCUUCUACUAAAACAGUGGUUCUCAACCUGUGGGUCCCCAGGUGCUUUGGCCUACAGCUCCCAUGUUGAGAACCACUGGGUUAGAUGGUUAAGCACAGCAAGAGAUGGGGCUUUUUCAGUGAUCACAUCUUACCUGCAAACCUUCUACUAAAACAGUGGUUCUCAACCUGGGGUCCCCAGAUGUUUUUGGCCUUCAACUCUCAGAAAUCCUAACAGCUGGCAAACUGGCUGGGAUUUCUGGGAGUUGUAGGCCAAAAACAUCUGGGGACCUCAGGUUGAGAACCACUGCACUAAAAGGAUAUAUGUCCUUCUCACAGAUGAUGUGGGUUCUCCUUCUUUUUGGCUGACAAUUUCCAACACCCAUAACAUGGCUGGCAGAAGAUUCUGAGAACUAUAAAAAUAAACUUUCCUAGACUGGUUAGUCUCUUUCUUACCUAUUUUAAAAAUAGGUAUGUUUUUAAUUAUUUCUCUUUAGCUGGGGUGGAUUUAAGAGUGGCUCCACAUAUGAGGGAUGGUCGUUUUUUGAACUUCCAACUGAAGGAGGAGCUCACCUGUUUUUUCCAGAAUCUCAUUGAAAACUUACAUCUUCAUAAAAGGACUUCCUUAUGUGGGAAUCAGAACUAUGCAAUUAAAUGACAUCCAUAUGCUGUAGAGGGUUGCUUUUACUAUAUAGCAGAGCCAACAUGGUCACUGAUGCCCAUUGAUAUCUGACGCAUUAUAGGAUUAUGGCACAAUGGCAAUAAUUGGCAACAGUAUCAAUGUGCCCUGUAUUGGUCUUGGUGAGCAUUUGACAUCAUUUCACAAGUCAGUAAAAGAGUUUCUUACCACCUCUACUUCAUUGCUAGGUGGGUACACAUAAAGUUACAUAACAGGUCAUUUGGGAUUUUAGCAUGUGUCCCUUAUUGAGCUGGAAGCUGUCCUUUAUUAUAAGGGAUGGUCACUACUUGAGGACUGGAAAGAUUUUCCUUUGAUAUAGAAGAAACAAAAUGCAGAAACAGUCUUGAUUUUUUGAUGUAGAUGCUUCGUAAAGACAGAAAUAUGUGCACCAUGCAUUUAUGGAUGCAAACAAUAUAUUGAAUUUACAGGGAAAUAUGCAAUAAGUUAUCCACAUUUGAUGGGGUUAGGGGGUGCAAGACCCUAACAAAAGUGUGAAAAU